rnacentral:rRNA from 1 species
GACGAACGCUGGCGGCGUGCUUAACACAUGCAAGUCGAACGGAAAGGCCCUGCUUUUGUGGGGUGCUCGAGUGGCGAACGGGUGAGUAACACGUGAGUAACCUGCCCUUGACUUUGGGAUAACUUCAGGAAACUGGGGCUAAUACCGGAUAGGAGCUCCUGCUGCAUGGUGGGGGUUGGAAAGUUUCGGCGGUUGGGGAUGGACUCGCGGCUUAUCAGCUUGUUGGUGGGGUAGUGGCUUACCAAGGCUUUGACGGGUAGCCGGCCUGAGAGGGUGACCGGCCACAUUGGGACUGAGAUACGGCCCAGCCUCCUACGGGAGGCAGCAGUGGGGAAUAUUGCACAAUGGGCACAAGCCUGAUGCAACAACGCCGCGUGCGGGAUGACGGCCUUCGGGUUGUAAACCGCUUUCGCCUGUGACGAAGCGUGAGUGACGGUAAUGGGUAAAGAAGCACCGGCUAACUACGUG